rnacentral:rRNA from 1 species
UACGUAGGGUGCAAGCGUUGUCCGGAAUUAUUGGGCGUAAAGAGCUCGUAGGCGGCCUGUCGCGUCGGAUGUGAAAAUCCAGGGCUCAACCCUGGACCUGCAUUCGAUACGGGCAGACUAGAGUUCGGUAGGGGAGACUGGAAUUCCUGGUGUAGCGGUGAAAUGCGCAGAUAUCAGGAGGAACACCGGUGGCGAAGGCGGGUCUCUGGGCCGAAACUGACGCUGAGGAGCGAAAGCGUGGGGAGCAAACAGG